rnacentral:rRNA from 1 species
GUGCAGCAGUCGCGAAUUUUCUCAAUGGGCGAAAGCCUGAAGGAGCGACGCCGCGUGGAGGAUGAAGGCCUUCGGGUUGUAAACUCCUGUCAUUUGAGAACAAGUGUCGGCAAGUAACUACUGCCGACUUGAUAGUAUCAGAAGAGGAAGGGACGGCUAACUCUGUGCCAGCAGCCGCGGUAAUACAGAGGUCCCAAGCGUUGUUCGGAUUCAUUGGGCGUAAAGGGUGCGUAGGUGGCGCCAUAAGUCAGGUGUGAAAUUUCGGAGCUUAACUCCGAAACUGCAUUUGAUACCGUGGUGCUUGAGGACUGGAGAGGAGACUGGAAUUUACGGUGUAGCAGUGAAAUGCGUAGAGAUCGUAAGGAAGACCAGUGGCGAAGGCGGGUCUCUGGACAGUUCCUGACACUGAGGCACGAAGGCCAGGGGAGCAAACGGGAUUAGAUA